UACGUAGGGUGCAAGCGUUAAUCGGAAUUACUGGGCGUAAAGCGUGCGCAGGCGGUUAUGUAAGACAGAUGUGAAAUCCCCCGGGCUUAACCUGGGAAUGGCAUUGGUGACUGCACGGCUAGAGUGUGUCAGAGGGGGGGAGAAUUCCACGUGUAGCAGUGAAAUCCGUAGAUAUUAGGAAGAACACCGGUGGCGAAGGCGGCCCACUGGAUCGGUACUGACGCUGAGGUGCGAAAGCGUGGGGA
rnacentral:rRNA from 1 species